CAGGUGCUAUGUCUGUAUUCCCCAGCCAGUGUUACUAGGCAAUGGGAUAUCUAUCUUUUAAGUCAUACCUAAAGGAAUCUUUCAAAUCAAGAUAAAUUCCACAUAGUGGUAGAGUCAUCCACCCCCAUUUAGCACAGGCUUUUACCACGGAGCUCUAAGGACUGUAUGUGAACAUUUUUGUAUGGCGUUUCCCCAUGCAGAAAUACUACUGUUCUCCAUGGGACCAUCAGCAGUGGAUUCUGUGGAAGCCUUGGCUGAGCAGACGGUAGAAUACGGUUAUGAGGAUCAUGGCCUUUUCAAGAAGAAAAGGAACUUCUGGUGGCUGACACCCUGGAUUACACUGAAAGGCUGCACUCCAGAGGCAGUGAAAGGCCACAUAGCAGAAAAAGCAAUGUGCCACCUGGGUUGAACCUGAUGAACCCUCCAGGGUUCAGAGAACAGAUCGCUCCCAAGCACAUCCUCCUUUCCCAGAUGGCCUUGAACAGAUGCAGCCCUCCAUGCAGACUUGGGAUAAAUAUUGUCCAGGAGGGAGAUGGCGCAUGAUGAACCUGCCAGAAGCCAGCUACAGCCAGGGGAGCUGGAAAGCAAAACUCUCUUGUGCUGCAGAUAGGCAGAGAGGCCUCCUUGACUCUUCUCUCUCCUCCAGGAACUCAGAACUUUGUCUUCCUCACUGAACCCACCUCAGACAAACUACUCAAUGGACUCCAGAAAACCCAAAUCUCUUCAGCUUUCUAAAGGAGAUGAAUGAGGAGCCGUCUGGGCCGGAAAUGCAGGUCCCAGAGAACUUUCUCCAGAGAUAUACCAGUUUGGAUGAAGGCUAUGUCCAAAUGAUUCAGAUACAAGAGUUGGGUGGUCCUAGGUUCAGAUCUACACUUUUCUUCUCACCGAUAUCCCUUAAGUAAAGGAAUAGUCAUGGACUCCUCAUGGGUGUGGUGGGCUUAGAUGAUGCUAUGUUUGUACAACUACUGUGCAAAUACAAAGCUUCCCUCAUGCAGGGAGAGGCUUGAACAGCAAAUAUAGUGUGAUCUCAUUCUAUGCAAAAUUCUGGGGUAUCAAUUGGGCUAUGUUCAUAGUAGCUAACCUUGGGCAAACUUGACUUCGUGGUUCUCUCCUGUAUUCCUGAAUUUAUUUUACAACACAUGCAUACAGACCAGGUUGCCCACCUACAACCUCAAGGCAUUCCAGCAAAGACUGGAUUCUUGAUGUGGUUAAGUACGGGAGUUUCAGAUUAAGCAUAUAGAGGGAGAUAAGUUCUUUUCAUAAUAGAAAGUAAAGAGUUUUGGUUCCCAGAGCAACUUGAGAAGAGGAUGUGAAUCUGCAGAGGUGAGAGAAAGAGAGCACAGUGGUCCCUUGUGGUCAGCAACCCAAUCAUACUUUGCAUGCAGCCCAUCACUUCUCACACAAAUGCUUGCUCCUAGAUGUUUGUGGGACCCCAAACCCUGGCUCCAAUGUCUUGGAAGAAUUAAUGUGAGUCAGGGCAGAGGUAGUAUGUGAGAACACAACUCGAAAGCAAAGCAUCCACCCUCUUCCUCCAGGAAUCAGCAAAAAUGUCAUGGAGGGGUUGAGACAACACUGACAGAUGGCAUCCGUAGCUUUGGCCUUGCCAUAGUCUCUCUGAUCCACACAUCUAAGCUGGCAUAGCUGGGCUCCUCAAAAACGAACAAACGAACAAACAAAACCUCCAGUCUCUACAUGGCCUCUUUUUAUGAUACAUGCAGCAGAACAUCUUCAGAGAGGCUGCCUGCUGAUGUGACUGUUUAUGGUAUGUGUCUUGAGGGAGGCCGCCAGGUGAAGGUUGUACUGCCUUCCUGACCCAGCCUCUUGGAAAUCCCGUUGAGUCAUCUCUAGUGAAUCCUGUUAGUCAAAGCAGUCAGAAGGCCUACCUAGGUUCAGGAGGAGAAGACCCCGCCCCCUCCUGAUGGAAGAGUCGCAGUGCUCUAGAAUGAGCAUGUGCGGUUGGAAAUAUUGUUGUGGCCAUUUUUGGAAGAUACAAUCUGCCAUCAGACAUCGCACAGAUGCUUAGGGGUAGGGCGGUCCUCUGCUGAUAUCUGAGCUACAAACGGGGUGGGGGAGCGCUACUAUUUUUUUUAAGACAAAAUAUUAACAGAACUAGACUUCAAAUCAAGCUAAGAUCAUUUGGGAAAAAACAUGGAUAAUGAAUGGAGACUUUUAUUAUAGCAGAUUUACCAGAAUUGGCUGUGAAAAUCAUAAUGAAAAUGAACAAGUCAGAAAGGAAAAUGUUUCCCUCUUGUUCAAAACUUUCUGAAUAGAGCCAGCAGUGCUGGAAAUAGAACAGGAAAGUCCUGGAAGAGAGUCAGAAGGUCAGGCUGUUGGUGGAGACUGCAUAUAAGACACUGCUUAGUGGAGAUGGUCAUGGCAUGGACUUGAGGGCAGGGGAUCUCUUGUUUGACUCCUUGGUUCAGCAAGUGAGUCGAGGACUGACAGAUUUUACUGUCUUCUGUCAGAGACCAUCUCCUGCAAGAAGGCCCCCAGGACAAAGGCUCCUCAGGAUUAGGCAUUCGGAUCCUGGCCUCUUCUUAUUAUGGACUGUCUCCUGCAGGAAGGUUUCUCAGCCUGGCUUUAACUCCUGUUCCCACCACUGUGGUUUUCUAGUGAGUCUGCAUUGUAAGUUCCUGCAGUCAGACCUGGAGUCAUUGACAAGGGACCUGGAGGGACCUUCAGAGCACACAGAUUGGAAUGUGGGGGAAUUAUUGCCUGCCCCUCAUCACCACCAAAAGUCUCAGUGUUGAAGCAGGAGAGUAGCAUUAAUGUUGAGAGGAAUCAUGAGAUUGCCUUUGGGCUCAGAGGGAAAGAAAACCUUGAUUAAUGGGAGCAGAGUCCUAGUGGUGACACAUUUGAAAAUCUGUCCUAUUCAGCUUCAGCUGUCUGAACAAAACUGAGGAAACCCCUAUGUCACCACCCAGCCACCCCUCUCUCCCUUCCAGAUAUUCAAAGAUAUUCCAGAUAUUCUAGAAUAUUCUAUUCUAGAACCCAUAUGCCCUUUCAUAAGCCAUACCCCAUCUCCCACAUCCCAAUUCACUCUCAUGAGUGUUGUUUUGGCCACUUCUUACUCUGGAUUCUUCAGGUUUGAAGCAAUGGGUCAGUGCUGUCUGAAUACACUGUUCCACAAUGCUCUUCCAUGAACUCCUAUAAUGCAGGGACUGCAAAGACCUUAGACUCUAAGGAAAGCCUCUCAUUUAACCAAUGCGUUUCAAAGGUUAGGAAAUGAAGGCUAGAGACAAGGAGAUUUGCCGGCCAGUCUCUCUAUCAGCGCCUCUCCUAGGACUUGCAGUGAGGCCCACUUGAGGUAUGGCACAGACCUCCUUGCUUGUUGCCAAAAGGUCCCUGACAGCCCCCUUUCUUGCAGUGGGCAGGCCAUGCUACAGAUCAUGCCAAAAAGUGUCAAACAGGAACGUGUCUUCCUUCUUGAAAUACAUUGUGGAUCAGCAGGCAGGCCCCUCAAGACCCCAGCAAUGCAGUCUGUCGAAAGCUCGGCACACAGUAACCCAGAAACAUAUGUGGUGAGCAAUAACAGUCAUAAAUUUUAUGAGAUUAUGUGUUCCUAAUGUGAGAUUUCAAGCUGAUCUGUUUGUUGCGCUAUGCCAAGCUUCAGUGUGAUUCAAUCAAGUUGUACUUAAUCUUCCCUUAUUUACUCUGGGUGUGGGUGAGUCAUGGAGUAGAUCUCUGGUCUAGUCUGCUGAACUAAUUUGCCCCAAGUAUUUUGAUGGACUGGUGAUUUGUUUUCUCUUAACAUUCAUAGUUUAUUUGCUUAUAUCAUUAGAUAGGUCUGGACCACAUGUAGUGAAAGCCUGCAGCCAUGCUAGGACCUAGGAUGCCUCUGAAGACUCAGCCAGUGACAGAGAAUAUCUCAGAGGUGUCACAGCAACUCCUCCUCCCAAUCUGAGUCAUGUAUGAUACUUUGCUACCUGUCUAUUAACAGGAAGACUUAAGUCUAUGCCAUUUUUCACAGAGAAAGCCAUUUUGACCACCUCCCCGAAUCUCUAAACCCUUACUGGGUGGGUCUAGAAUGAAGAAAGAAUAUUGUCAUCUCGAAGAAGAUGAAAAAAGGCCUGGACAUUUUGCCCAAGGCUGGGCGUGAUUCCAGCCACCAAAUUUGUCCUCUAGGGAGAUGAUGGACAUACAGAUGAGAUCUGAGGAUUCGAUACAAGGCCUCACUGUUCUUGGACUAAGAAUAGUGAGGACCAGUCUAUGGUUGACAGCGAGGGUUUGGGGACCUUCUGGCUGUUGUGGGGAUGGGAGAAAUGUGGCCUGUGGUCUUAGGAGCAGGGGUGAGAGAGUUUCCCGUGACUUCUGCUUUGAUCACAGUGCCAACUGCCCCCAUUUUCUUAGGAUAGAGAAACUUCCCAGGACUGGAGGCUUUCAGAACUGAGAAGUGGAAAGUUUUGGGCAAAACAGGACAAGCUGGUCACUCUAACUUUAUCAUCCCCUGGCCUUGGCAACUUAGGCCUUCAGAUUUAGCCAGAGCUUUAGGUUGGCUUGGGAAGGCCACUCCCUCUUCAAACAGCCACUGUCAGACCUCUGCUUCUGAAAAGGUAGCUCACUGCUUGGUUUCUAUCUGUGGUUCCUCUGCAGCUCACGGUGUAACUGUCACGGCCUCUGUGGGAAGCUCUGGAGCUUUUGAGGGGUCAGCACAUGAAGCACGGCAUUCAUGAGUGGAUUAGGACAUUAAUAGCCUAUCAGCAGAGACUAGUUUCUGUGAUAGGUCUUCAUGAAAGAGUCCUGUCCCUCGAAUCCUCUCCUUCAGGCCCCUGCUUGCCCUUCUGCUCCUCCAUCAUGCAAAGACAGCACAGGAAUUGUGCCAUGUGCUUGGCUUCUAAGUAUCACCAACUAAAAAAAAAUUAAGUUUCUAAUUUACUUAAUCUAUGGCAUCCUUUACAAAAAAAGAAUAUAGACUAAGACAGAAGCCUAUCUCUCCUCUUACAGGAAUGACAGUUUACCUGUCAUUCUCUCAGACACACACCCUUGGGCCUCUGCUGAGGUGGGCAGCUGGCUUUCCUGCCAGUCUGCACAUUGACAGCCUGUCUGUGCUCACUUCAGGGAGAAGCACACAACUCUGGGAUCUCUCUCUCUCUCUCUCUCUCUCUCUCUCUCUCUCUCUCUCUCUCUCUCUCCCCUUUCUCCUUCUCUGCCUCCCUCCCUCCCUCAGAAUGUUUUUUUGUUUUGGUAAUAAAAUUUAGAACACACUGUGGUGGUAAGCCCUUGGGGACUAAAGAUAAUACCCAGAUUCUCCCUUAUUUUAUUUAAGAGUUGGGGCUCUAGAGUCCAGACUCUGACAGUUAUUUUGACCUUGAUUAACUAGUGUAACCUCCUGGGACCUCAGUUUCCUAAUGUGUAAAUGAGCAAGGCUGGCUUCAUGAUUAAGUCAAUUGAUCAUCGCAAAGAACUUAGAAUUAGACUUGGUACAUAGCAAUUACUGAGAAUACGUUACCUGUUGUAUCCAAAGGGCAUGCCAGGGUCAACCUUGCUAAAUUAUUUUGUGUGUCUGCAGUGUGCAUGGCUGUCCCAGUGCCAUCAGAACUGCACACAGUGGGAAGCCCUGCUGUAGGAGUGAAUGGGCUGAGGAAUGCUACACAGCAAGCAGCGCCCAGACCUCGUGGACUGACGCAAGUAAGGCUAGUUGUACCUUCGUGCCAUGUCUGCUACAGGUCUAGGUUUCUUCUCCAACAGCUUCCAUCUAGGGCAUGGCGGCUGUUACCUCUGCCAGCUGCUCUCAAACCUCACUACUUUCAUUCUGUUCGGCUACAGAGUCACUUCUGUAGACAAGCCACAUGCCUUACUUUGAAUUUGGACCUAAGUAGGGGCUGUGGGGAUGGAGAUCUUUUGCUGAAGAUCUGGAAUGAACAAAACAACAACAACAACAACAACAAAACAGCGACCGCAGGCUUCGGAACAGAGCUGCUCCAGGGGCCCUCCUGGUUGGCCAGCUCACUGUGCAGCUAGGCAGCUUGCUUUCCUGAGGAUGGGGGUUUUGAGAGCCCAGAUGCCAGCAAACUCCAGAUUCCAGCAGGAGGCAAUCCCCCAACUUGCACCCCAACUUUCACUCAUCACAAGGAACAUCUGCAGAUUCCCGACUUCUUCCAAUGCAUCUCACGGCGGCAAGCCGAGGCUCGGCUCUUCAACUGUUUUAGGUCUGGAUGGCAUUAAUCUUACCUAAAUAGCCUGCCAAAUUAGUCCCGAGCCAAUACAUUUAAGUGGAUGUUUCUGAAUGCUCACCCUUGGCUUGGAUUUUAUAAUCUAUGUCUUUAUUAAUAUACCAAAGUGUUCUAUAAAGUCUGCACAGAAUCUCUAAUUUAGUUUUUAUUGUCCUAAUGGUAUAGCUUUGACUUUCCCAUCACGCACUUGACAAUUUUCAGAUUCAUUCUUGCUAAUUGAGUGUGAAUGUAUAUGCACAUAUAUAACAUAUACGUAUAUAUAGAACAUAUAUGUGUAUAUUGUAUAUUUAUGACUGGUAAAUGUAUAUGUACAUAUCUAUGUAUGUACUUAGUUAAUGCCUCAGUGAAGCAGGGGCACAGGUAUAUAGAUCUCGAGUGGUAUAGACAUUUUAAUGCGUGCUGUUCAUAUCCACUGCCAAGAUGAAAAGACCCACAGUCAAGGAAAACAAAAUGUCCUUCAAUCAUUUCUGAAGGUCUUCCUUCUCACCUGCCUUGCUUUCCAUGGAUAUUUGAAGCGCAGCGACAGGCCCAGCCCCUCAAUUCUCUUUAUUAUUGAUUGUGUACAUAAAUAGUCUACCAGCACUGUUUAUAAUUCUUCUCCUGCUGUGUCUUUCCAAGAAAAUAAUUCCCUGUUUACAUACAGAAGUAUUUGCAUUCAAGGAACCUAGAAAUCUAACAAGAAGUGUUCUCUUUCCCUCUCAUGAGUAAACACAAGCCUUAGCCACACCCAUCUUACCGGGACUGACUUCCUUUAUUGUAUCAGCUAUAAAUGUUUAUUUUUGUAUUUCAUUCCUUAAAUAGGUAUAAUAUUAUUUGGUCUUGGUACU